rnacentral:rRNA from 1 species
CAGUAGCCACGGUAAAACCGAGGGUGCAAGCGUUAAUCGGAAUUACUGGGCGUAAAGCGCGCGUAGGUGGUUUGUUAAGUUGGAUGUGAAAUCCCCGGGCUCAACCUGGGAACUGCAUCCAAAACUGGCAAGCUAGAGUAUGGUAGAGGGUGGUGGAAUUUCCUGUGUAGCGGUGAAAUGCGUAGAUAUAGGAAGGAACACCAGUGGCGAAGGCGACCACCUGGACUGAUACUGACACUGAGGUGCGAAAGCGUGGGGAGCAAACAGGAUUAGAUACCCCAGUAGUCCCUGUCUCUUAUAC